UUUUUUUUUUUUUUUUUUUUUUGAGACAGGGUCUUGCUCUGUCAUCCAGGCUGGAGUGCAGUGGUGUGAUCUUGGCUCACUGCAUCCUCUACCCUGGAUCAAGUGAUUCUCGUGCCUCAGCCUCCCGAAUAGCUGGGAUUACAGACAUGCACCACCAUGCCCAGCUGAUUUUUGUAUUUUUAGUAGAGAUAGGGUUUCGCCAUGUUGGCCAGGCUGGUCUCAAACUCCUGACCUCAAGUGAUCUGCCUGGCUUGGCCUCCCAAAGUGCUGGGGAUUACAGGUGUGAGCCACCGUGCCCAGCCCAGAAUAUUUGUUUUUAACCACUACUCUCAGCAAAUAUGUAGACUUAAAAUUUAUCUGUUAUUGUCAUGUAACUUGUGAUGUACUCAGAGAAUGUGGUCUUAUUUUCUGAAAUGCAUGGAGUCUUUAUGGCCUGCAUGUAAUUAAUUUUGGUAAAUGUUUCGUGUGUGCCUAAGAGGGUAUCUUCUAAUUGGUGAAUGCAGAAUUCAAUAUAUGUCCAUUAGAGCAGUCUAAACGGGAGUGUUCAAAUCUACUUGUUGAUUUUUUUUGUUUUCUUGACCUAUCAAGAAUUGAGAGGUGUUGCAAUCUCCCACUGUGGUAGCAUUUGCCUGCCACAAAGGUUUAUCCAUUUUAGCUUUAUUUUCUGAUUAUCUUAUUAACUGCCUAUGUAUCUUAAAAGUUCUGUCUUCUUGGUUAAUUGAACUUUUUAUAAUUAUAUAAUGACUCUAUUCCUAAUGAUGGAUUUGUCUUCAAGUUUAUUUAUUUUGAGAUAGGGUCUCACGUUGUUACCCAGGCUGAAUGUGGUGACGUAAUCAUGGCUCACUGCAGCCUCGAUCUCCCAGGCUGAAGCCAUCCUUCCACCUCAGCCUCCCGAGCGGAGAUUGCAGUGAGCUGAGAUUGCACUCCAGCCUGGGCCACAGAGAAAAAGAAAAAAAAAAAGGCAAUUUGAUGAGUUCUGCUUUUUGUACCCACCCAUGUGAAAGUAUCACAGUGAAAAUACUGAAUAUAUCCACCACACCCACAAAUUUCCUCCCUGUCUUCCUCCAGCUCCUGGACCCACACAACCAAAAAGAAGGGAUACUUUCAACAAAUGAUACUAAAACAACUGUAAAUCCAUAUGCAAAAAAAACCCUGAACCCUACCUCAUACCAUACACAAAGAUUGACUGAUUAUAGGCUGAAAGAUAAAAAUUAAAACUACAAAUUGUCUAGAAUAAAACAGGAGAAAAUAUCCAUGAUCUUGAUUAGGCAAAGAUUUCUUAGGACACAAAAAGGAUAAGCAUAAGAAGCUGGACUUCAACAAGAUGGAGCUCUGUUCCUCAAAAUAGUAUUAAGAAAAUAAACAGAUAAGCCAUAAAUUUGGAGAAACUAUUCAAAUAUAUAUCCAACGAAGGACUUCUAACUAGAAUAUAUGAAGAACUCUUACAAGUCAGUAACAAGACAACUCAAUGAAAAAUGGGCAGAAGAUUUUCCCUUUAUAAAAGAUAUAUAUGAAAGGCCAAUAAGGAUCUGAAAAGAUGCUCAAUGUCAUCAGUAAUCAAGGAGACACAAAUUAAAACCACAAACAGACAGUAUGUCACACAAGUAAGAAUGGCCACAAUUUAAAAGAUGGACAAUACUCAUGGAUACAGAGCAAGUGGAACUCUCAGACACUGCUGGAGGGAAUGUAAAAUGGAACCUCUUGGAAACUGUUUUCGAGUUUCUUACAGAGUUACCAUACAAUACAGCAAUUUCACUAUUUAUCCCAGAUAAAAACACAGGUCCACCCAAAGACUUGUAUGGAAAUAUACAAGCAAAUGGAUAAACAAAUUGUAGUC
ensembl:lncRNA